rnacentral:rRNA from 1 species
ACGCUCGACACCUACGGGGGGCAGCAGUGGGGAAUAUUGCACAAUGGGGGAAACCCUGAUGCAGCGACGCCGCGUGGAGGAAGAAGGUCUUCGGAUUGUAAACUCCUGUUGUUGGGGAAAAAGAGGAUGGUACCCAACAAGGAAGUGACGGCUAACUACGUGCCAGCAGCCCCGGUAAUCUGAGCGGGCUGGCAAGGC